rnacentral:rRNA from 1 species
AUGCACGCUGGCGGCGUGCCUCAUACAUGCAAGUCGAGCGAACAGACGAGGAGCUUGCUCCUCUGACGUUAGCGGCGGACGGGUGAGUAACACGUGGAUAACCUACCUAUAAGACUGGGAUAACUUCGGGAAACCGGAGCUAAUACCGGAUAAUAUAUUGAACCGCAUGGUUCAAUAGUUAAAGACGGUUUUGCUGUCACUUAUAGAUGGAUCCGCGCCGCAUUAGCUAGUUGGUAAGGUAACGGCUUACCAAGGCAACGAUGCGUAGCCGACCUGAGAGGGUGAUCGGCCACACUGGAACUGAGACACGGUCCAGACUCCUACGGGAGGCAGCAGUAGGGAAUCUUCCGCAAUGGGCGAAAGCCUGACGGAGCAACGCCGCGUGAGUGAUGAAGGUCUUCGGAUCGUAAAACUCUGUUAUUAGGGAAGAACAAAUGUGUAAGUAACUAUGCACGUCUUGACGGUACCUAAUCAGAAAGCCACGGCUAACUACGUG